UACGAAGGGGCUAGCGUUGUUCGGAUUUACUGGGCGUAAAGCGCACGUAGGCGGAUGUGUCAGUCAGGGGUGAAAUCCCGGGGCUCAACCUCGGAACUGCCUUUGAUACAGCCACGUCUCGAGUCCGGAAGAGGUGGGUGGAAUUCCUAGUGUAGAGGUGAAAUUCGUAGAUAUUAGGAAGAACACCGAUGGCGAAGGCAGGUCUCUGGGCCACUACUGACGCUGAGAAGCGAAAGCAUGGGGAGCGAACAGG
rnacentral:rRNA from 1 species